rnacentral:rRNA from 1 species
AACGAACGCUGGCGGCAUGCCUAACACAUGCAAGUCGAACGCAUGUAGCAAUACAUGAGUGGCGAACGGGUGAGUAACGCGUGGGAACCUGCCUAGUGGUAGGGAAUAACCGCGGGAAACUGCGGCUAAUACCCUAUGAGCCCUCCGGGGGAAAGAUUUAUCGCCAUUAGAGGGGCCCGCGUCGGAUUAGCUAGUUGGUGGGGUAACGGCCCACCAAGGCGACGAUCCGUAGCUGGUCGAGAGGAUGAUCAGCCACACUGGGACUGAGAUACGGCCCAGACUCCUACGGGAGGCAGCAGUGGGGAAUAUUGGACAAUGGGGCAACCCUGAUCCAGCAAUGCCGCGUGAGUGAAGAAGGCCUUAGGGUUGUAAAGCUCUUUCGGCGGGAAGAUGAUGACGGUACCGCAGAAGAAGCCCCGGCCUAACUUCGUGCCAGCAGCAGCCGCCGUAAU